CCUGGUUGAUCCUGCCAGUAGUCAUAUGCUUGUCUAUAAGGCUAAGCCAUGCAUGUCUAGAAUAAGCCCCAGAACGGUGAAUCUGCGAAUGGCUCAUUAAAUCAGUUAUUGUUUAUUUGAUGGUACCUUACUACAUGGAUAACCGUAGUAAUUCUAGAGCUAUUACAUGCGCCAAGCCCCGACUUCUUCACGGAGGAAGGGGUGCAUUUAUUAGAUUCAAACCAUCGUUCGGGUGUCAAAGCCCGUUCUUUUGAUGGUGAGUCAUAAUAACUGAGCGAAUCGAAUGGCUUCACGCCGUCGAUGCCUCAUUCAAAUUUCUGCCCUAUCAGCUUUCGAUGGUAGGAUCUUGGCCUACCAUGGCUAUAACGGGUAACGGGGAAUUAGGGUUCGGUUCCGGAGAGGGAGCUUGAGAAACGGCUACCACAUCCAAGGAUGGCAGCAGGCGCGCAGAUUACCCAAUCCCGACACGGGGAGGUAGUGACAAAAAAUAACAAUGCUGGACUAUUUCUAGUCCGGCAAUUGGAAUGAGAGUAAUUUAAACCAAUUCUCGAGGAGCAAUUGGAGGGCAAGUCUGGUGCCAACAGCCGCGGUAAUUCCAGCUCCAAUAGCGUAUAUUAAAGUUGUUGCAGUUAAAAAGCUCGUAGUCUGACUUUUUCGGCUGGCGGUUUUCAGCGCGUCCGGUUUUUUCAUUAAGAUCGUUGCACGUGCGCCGCCUGGUCGAACGAGGGCACCUCUUCCCCCCUCACGGGGGCGGGGGGGUGUUUUUGUACUUUGGAGGAACGCUUACCGUGCUUUUAAUUAAGUGCGCGCGGGAUUCCGAUAGUUUACUUUGAGAAAAAUAGAGUGUUCAAAGCAGGCGUUUAUUGCCUUUGAAUACAUUAGCAUGGGAUAAUGGAAUAGGACAUUGGUUCUAUUUUCUGAUUUGGUUCGGGGACCGAUGUAAUGAUUAAUAGGGACAGUUGGGGGCAUUCAUAUUCCAUGGCUAGAGGUGAAAUUCUUGGAUUCAUGGAAGAUGAACUACUGCGAAAGCAUUUGUCAAAGAUGUUUUCAUUGAUCAAGAACGAAAGUUAGGGGAGCAAAGACGAUCAGAUACCGUCGUAGUCUUAACCAUAAACGAUGCCGACUAGGGAUCGGUGAGAGUUAGUUUUGAUGACUUCAUCGGCACCUCAUGGGAAACCAAAGUCUUUGGGUUCCGGGGGGAGUAUGGUCGCAAGGCUGAAACUUAAAGGAAUUGACGGAAGGGCACCACCAGGAGUGGAGCCUGCGGCUUAAUUUGACCCAACACGGGAAAACUCACCAGGUCCAGACAUAGUAAGGACUGACAGAUUGAGAGCUCUUUCUUGAUUCUAUGAAAGGUGGCGCAUGGCCGUUCUUAGUUGGUGGAGUGAUUUGUCUGAUUAAUUUCGAUAACGAACGAGACCUUAACCUGCUAACUAGUCACGGCAAG
rnacentral:rRNA from 1 species